rnacentral:rRNA from 1 species
UACGGAGGGUGCGAGCGUUAUCCGGAAUUAUUGGGCGUAAAGCGUCCGCAGGCGGCUAAUUAAGUCUGUUGUCAAAGGUCACAGCUCAACUGUGGAUCGGCAAUGGAAACUGGUUAGCUAGAGUGUGGUAGGGGUAGAGGGAAUUCCCGGUGUAGCGGUGAAAUGCGCAGAUAUCAGGAGGAACACCAAUUGCGAAGGCAGCUCGCUGGGACGUAACUGACGCUGAGACGCGAAAGCGUGGGGAGCAAACAGG